UGCUUCAGAUUCCCUGUUUCCGUCUCUCUCUGCCCCUCCCCUGCUCAAGCCCUGUCUCUGUCUCUCAAAAAUGAAUAAACGUUAAAAAAAUUAUUUUAAAGUGUUACCGAAUUCAGGGUAGCACUCCUCAGGAGGCAUUUGCCACAUCAACAGAGCACAGCCGUGCAACUCAGUGUGCUGCUGGUAGGUGGCAUCGUGGCUACCCUCUGGGUAUCCAGCCACACCUGCCCCGAUGAGUGGCAGCCUCUUAUAACUGUUUUGGGUUGGCCCAAACAGUGGUUCACAAGCCUGGCUAUACAUUAGAAUCUCCUGGGAAGGAUCUCUGACGCCCAGAAACUCCAAUAGCAACUGGAUGGCAAUCCCUGGAGUGUGGGGUGACGCUCACGUGCAGUGGCAUUGACAGUCGCUGGUACAAACCAUCAGAGGACCCUCAUCCCUUUGCCACAAUGAUUGGUUCAGAGAUGGGUAGUGGCCUGAGGCCCAAGCCAGUCAGCUUCUGAUGAGGUAUUAACAUUUGGAACAAUGGGGCUGAGUCAGAACUUCGUAUCAGGUGCAACAUCAAGUCUAUUCAUUUAUUUUAUUUUUGUUGGAGCACAGAGGGUGUUGUAGCAAAGGGAAGAAGAACACAGAUGGCAUGUUUUGCAAUAUUUGGGUAUCUUUGCAAUGGGCUCCUCCAAAAAUCAUUAAUUAUUUCAUCUUGGAGAGCUCACCUUCCAGUUUUUCAGGAUCCAGAGGCUGAAAUUAUUCAUCUUCACUCUGAACUGUUCAACUGUUUGUUCAAGUCUGUAAGAUCGGCUUUUUGUUAAAACUGCCUUCUCUCGGAUACAUCGAUGAGAAAAGGUCACACCCUCUACCCAUUGGGCAUUUGAGCACAGAGUUACAGUGCACAUUCUCUUGGCAAGCCUCCAAUUGCGCUUUCUGGAACUUCUCUUUCCAACCAUUCAUACAGGCUUUUCCAGAUCACAGAUGAAAACCUCUUACUUCCUUUGUCACUCCCAUAGACUAAAGCUCCUUCUUUGUGAAGAUGACUCAAGGAGGGAGAGAGGAGGAGAAGCCACAGCCCAUCAACGUCUCUGGGCAUCACACCCCACUUGGCUGGGCGUUUCUGGUAGGCACAACCCUCUGGUAGCGGAAAGAGAUCGCUAGGCUAGGCUCGUACUCAGAAGUGAAGAGUGCAAAAUAACUAGAAAGAAGGUGACCCAAGCCUUCCUUCUGAUGUUAGCUUCUUAUGACCCGGAGAAGAAAGAAAGCGGGCUUGUCACAAACGCUGUCUCUAGCACAGUGCCUGCCACGUGGUAGACAUGAAUUACCUGCCCGAUGGAUGAAUAUACGGGAAGAGCAAAAGUUCGACAACUGCCAGAUUUGGUUUUAAGUACUGUUAGCGACCCAGACCUGGAAUGCGUAAGUUAUCGUCAAAGGCCAGUAUUCGCAGGGCUGGGCGCUCCCUAGCUGUACUCUGUCUGCCUGUUUGUUGCUCCACUAAGUCACUUGGACGAUAGAAGUGGUGGCCUAGCAAGUGAAAUAGCUUGUGCGAAGGCAGCUUAUACAGCCCCUACCGCUCAGAUACUCAGUGAAGGACAACCCAUCACCUUCCAGACGCUCUUGGUUCCAGCUGCUAGCCCACGUGUGUUCGGGCUCCACCUCCUCACCACAUCGUUCUGCCGUCACACUUCAGAUUUGUCCCUCCCUCUCCCCUUUCAGAAGAUGAGCUCCUUGAAGACAAGAACCAAGUUGUACCUUGGUUUCCUCUCUCCUUGGCCCAGCGAGUCCUCCCUAUGUGUCUUCUGAAGGAAUUAAAACAAGGCUGUGGGGCAUGCUGGCAAAAUCGUAUUUUGAGAUCUUCCUGGUUAAACAAAAUGGUAUAAAGAUCAUCCCAUAGAGAGUUUAAGUCUGAAUUCUGCCUCCGCCUCAUGGUCCUCUGGGGAAGGCGCUUAGUGACCAGGACCCCUUUAGGUCAUCUGGGUAGCAGACAACGUGGUUCUAGGUAGCUUGCAGCUUUAGAAUUCUACGAGUUCAAGCUACUUCUCGUAAAAAAAAUUUAGCCCCUGACUAGAUUUGUUCACAAACUGAACCUGUUUGGAGGCCGCAGUAACUACAGGCGAAAGUGGAAUUUUCUAAAUCACCUCUCCCACCUCAUUCCGUGUAGAGAAGACUUGGAAUAAAAGAAAAGCUUUCUUUGGAAAGAAAUCAUGACAAAUCCUGAUUUGUCAUGAUCUCUUCCAUCCCUGCAGGAAAGCCACAGGAAAAACAGGUUUUCUCUAUAGAAACACAACUACAACAUACACCUUCAGGAAUGGCCUCACGUUUAAGUGCCUGUGAAUAAAUCAUUUCCUUUGAUUUUGCUCUAACCAAGACCCUCCCACAGCCAUGAGGCCUGUCUUCUUUCAGCCAGAGAAAACUCACAGCUUAAAGGCAGACAGAAGCCCAUUCUACUGCUACCGGCUGUAAGUUUUGUGGUGCCGGCCUGCAACAUGGCCGCAGUAAUCCCUCCCCGCUGGUCUUCAUGUCUUUGUGUCAGCCUCUCCCACUGUCCCACACUGUACAGAAUUGUCUGUGUGAUCAACAGAAUACAGAGAAGCGAUGAUAUGCCACUUCCCAAACUCAGUUAUAAAAGACUAUGGCUUCAGACCUGGGCUCAUAUUCUCUCUCUCUCUCUCGUCCCUUGCCCUAGUGGAAGCCAGUUGCCAUGGGAUGAAGACAUUCAGGCAAACAGUGGAGAGGCCCAUGAUAAGGCAGAAAACUGAAAUCCCUGCUAACAGCUGGUGAGAAAAGGAGCACCUACUUACUGAGAAGAUGCUCAGAAGAGACCAGGGAAAGGGUGAUGGUUCCUAGCUUCUGAACCCUCCUCCACCUGCACGACAGAGGAGAAGGAUGCUUUAUGGACACACUUUCCUCACGUGCCUGCAUUCUGUUGCCACCUCCCGAGUUUCAGAGCUGGCCCUUUGUUUUGUCUCAGAGUACCACUUCCCUUGCAGUUUUCCUAUUGAGGUGAACUGCCCCAUUUUGAGGAUGAUUUGCUACGAUAUUACUGCCACUGCAGUGUAUAAAUAUCACUGGCAGAUUGAGAGCAGAAAUAUUUUUCAAAUAACUGUGCCCGGAUCCUGUCUCUGUAAGUGUCUGUCUCUGCCCAUAGAAUACGAGCUCUACAAGGAAUUUGUUCUUUGUCAUUUUUGUGCACUGAAGAACCCCAAGGGCCUGGAACUUGACAGCUGGUAGACAUACAACAAAUACUUCCUGACUGAUGCUGGCUAUCAUCCCACGACUGCACUGUUCAUGAAGAUCAACCAACUCCUCAUGCUCUACUCCUUGACCACUGAGAGUCCUCGGGUUUCUUUUUCAAGAAAAUACUGAGCAGCCGGUGAAAAAUUCUACUUACCGAGUGAUUACAUUUUCUUGAAAACUUAUUCUGGCUAUGACUCAGCCUCGGGAGCUUGGUUGGUGUGAAUAUACCCUGGGUGAGCUAAUAAAAUCAAAGCCCUGAAAAUGCAAAGUUGAGGUCCCAACCCUGAAUCCAUGCUCCCCUGGGGACUGGGACGAGGAAAAGGGCAGUGCAGAUGUGGAGAAGUGGACAGCCGACGAUGGGAGGCACUCUAGGGUGUUUGAAGAAGGGCAUGCGGGUGGCUGUGCUUUAGGAUGAUUGACCUGGCUGGGCUGCGUCUAAAAGGAGCAGUCAGAGCUAACUUAGUGGUCCCCUGUCAUGUUCUUCUUGGGCAGCUCCAGGUUCAAAGAAGCUCCACGCAGCUCUGCAGGCGGGUCCAACCCAGACACAUGGCUCUCAGUCUGCAAACAUCAUGUCUUCACUGCACAGCCUGCCCUCAUCGAGAAGGGUGUCUCCAGUCUUUCCAAGAACAUGACACAUGACAAAGUUAGGACAGGACCGUAGACUCUCCAAGCUCCCUAUUGUACAUGACAUGGUUUAAAGAAUCAGAGUUUUCCUGAAAGAGGUAAGUUAACCUUGACUUGCAGAGUAUUUGGACAGUCACAAAAAGCCAUGGUAAGCAAUAAUUGUUCUGCUGGGACUUUACAAUAUCAAAAUCAGACAUUGAUGUCUGUCCACCCCAUGCAUUCCCCUCCCUCUGUGUGCAAGAAUUGAUUUCCACUAGUUGAAAUUCACACAAUAAAGGAAACUUUUGUUUUCAAUUCUGCUGAUGAGAGAGACAAUUAUAUGCGACCUCCUCAUUGAUUGACUGUGCUGUUUUCUUAGAUUUACUUCUUGGGAGAAUCAUUAAACAUAAGAGAAAAUGAUUUGUUUCCAUCGACUGGAUGAUGUGUCCAUCUGACAGCCCUGGUUUUUAUAUUAAAGUUAUUAUGUCAUUAAUGUAAUUUGCAGAAUCAAGAAGAAAUCACUCAAGUUCUGAUUGUAUUGCUGGUUAUGUUUUUUUCAAAUAAAUAAAAACUUUUUAAAGGAAAUAAAUCUGGUGACAACAAUAAUAGAUGAAGAGGCCAACUGCUCACAUCAUAAAUCACCACAAGCUUAAGGAAACUUGGUUACUUAAGUGCUGAGUGCUGCAAAGCUAGGUUUCUCAAAAUGUCCAUUUUCAUAUUGUGAAAUUCUUAGGACCGCUGCUAAUUGCAAGUACUUAGGAAAGAUGACUUCCCAUUGUUAAAUUCCUUUCUCAUUCUCAUGGCUGUCUCACUGCUUAAGGUUAGUAAGUUAACACGGAGCGUGGUAAAGCCGGGUUUGAUUCAGGUUUCCCCAAGUCUCCUCUGAACUUCGUGUGUUCGUGUCAGUUGGGGAGAUUGUGUGACUGUCAUUCUCAGUAACUUUUCUCUCCCCCGGCAACAACUGCCAAGAAA